rnacentral:rRNA from 1 species
AACGAACGCUGGCGGCAGGCUUAACACAUGCAAGUCGAGCGCCCCGCAAGGGGAGCGGCAGACGGGUGAGUAACGCGUGGGAAUCUACCCAUCUCUACGGAAUAACGCAUGGGAACGUGUGCUCAUAACGUAUACGUCCUUCGGGAGAAAGAUUUAUCGGAGAUGGAUGAGCCCGCGUUGGAUUAGCUAGUUGGUGGGGUAAAGGCCUACCAAGGCGACGAUCCAUAGCUGGUAUGAGAGGAUGAUCAGCCACACUGGGACUGAGACACGGCCCAGACUACUACGGGAGGCAGCAGUGGGGAAUAUUGGACAAUGGGCGCAAGCCUGAUCCAGCCAUGCCGCGUGAGUGAUGAAGGCCCUAGGGUUGUAAAGCUCUUUCACCGGUGAAGAUAAUGACGGUAACCGGAGAAGAAGCCCCGGCUAACUUCGUGCCAGCCGCCGCAGUAAUAC